UGGGGAAUUUUGGACAAUGGGCGAAAGCCUGAUCCAGCCAUGCCGCGUGAGUGAAGAAGGCCUUCGGGUUGUAAAGCUCUUUUAGUCGGAAAGAAAGAGUUGCAAUGAAUAAUUGUGAUUUAUGACGGUACCGACAGAAAAAGCACCGGCUAACUACGUGCCAGCAGCCGCGGUAAUACGUAGGGUGCGAGCGUUAAUCGGAAUUACUGGGCGUAAAGGGUGCGCAGGCGGUCUUGCAAGUCAGAUGUGAAAGCCCCGGGCUUAACCUGGGAAUUGCGUUUGAGACUACAAGGCUAGAGUGCAGCAGAGGGGAGUGGAAUUCCAUGUGUAGCAGUGAAAUGCGUAGAGAUGUGGAAGAACACCGAUGGCGAAGGCAGCUCCCUAGGUUGACACUGACGCUCAUGCACGAAAGCGUGGGGAGCAAAC
rnacentral:rRNA from 1 species